rnacentral:rRNA from 1 species
UGGGGAAUAUUGCACAAUGGGCGCAAGCCUGAUGCAGCCAUGCCGCGUGUAUGAAGAAGGCCUUCGGGUUGUAAAGUACUUUCAGUCGGGAGGAAGGUGGUAAGGUUAAUAACCUUAUCAAUUGACGUUACCGACAGAAGAAGCACCGGCUAACUCCGUGCCAGCAGCCGCGGUAAUACGGAGGGUGCAAGCGUUAAUCGGAAUUACUGGGCGUAAAGCGCACGCAGGCGGUUGAUUGAGUCAGAUGUGAAAUCCCCGGGCUUAACCCGGGAAUUGCAUCUGAUACUGGUCAGCUAGAGUCUUGUAGAGGGGGGUAGAAUUCCAUGUGUAGCGGUGAAAUGCGUAGAGAUGUGGAGGAAUAACGGUGGCGAAGGCGGCCCCCUGGACAAAGACUGACGCUCAGGUGCGAAAGCGUGGGGAGCAAACAGG